rnacentral:rRNA from 1 species
UGUGGGGGGAGCCGUCGAAGGUGGGACCGGCGCAUUGGGACGAAGUCGUAACAAGGUAGCCGUACCGGAAGGUGCGGCUGGAUCACCUCCUUUCUAAGGAGCUUUCUGGCUGGUGUGCCUUCUGUAGUGGAGGGUGUCUGGUCCAGAGCGAAGACCAGCUGGAUGGUUGGUCUGGGUGCUCAUGGGUGUGGAACGCUGACUAUGUUUCUGUCUGGUCUGGUCUGUUGUCCGGGGUUCCUGUGUGUUCUCUGGGUGGUGGGUUGUCUGGGUGGAUCGGUACGCUGUUGGGUUGUGAGGGAGUGAGUUGCCCUCGUGUACGAUCCUGCCUUCUGCUGGCCCGUUAGGGGCUGGUGGGAGGCAGGUUUGCGGGCUGGUUCGUCGUGGGAUACCGCUGUCUUUUAUGGUGGUGGGUCCCGCAGGUGCGGCUGGUUUCCGUUCGUAGUUUGAGAACUGCACAGUGGACGCGAGCAUCUUUAUCUUUGUGGCCAAGUUAUUAAGGGCGCACGGUGGAUGUCUUGGCACCAGGAGCCGAUGAAGGACGUGGGAGGCUGCGAUAUGCC